rnacentral:rRNA from 1 species
GUGAGGAAUAUUGCGCAAUGGAGGCAACUCUGACGCAGCCAUGCCGCGUGCAGGAAGAAGGCGCUACGCGUUGUAAACUGCUUUUAACCGGGAAGAAACCCCAGGACGUGUCCUGGGUUGACGGUACCGGAGGAAUAAGCACCGGCUAACUUCGUGCCAGCAGCCGCGGUAAUACGAAGGGUGCAAGCGUUAUCCGGAUUCAUUGGGUUUAAAGGGUGCGUAGGCGGAGCGUUAAGUCAGUGGUGAAAUCCUGCAGAUUAACUGUAGACUUGCCAUUGAUACUGGCGCUCUUGAGUGCGCUUGAAGUGGGCGGAAUGUGCCGUGUAGCGGUGAAAUGCUUAGAUAUGGCACAGAACACCAAUUGCGAAGGCAGCUCACUAAGGCGAUACUGACGCUGAGGCACGAAAGCGUGGGGAUCGAACAGGAUUAGAAACCCGGGUAGUCC